rnacentral:piRNA from 1 species
UGGCCAAGGCAAGGAUAAGCAAUAGACGC